GAAUGACCUAAAGGUGGGAGAUGAGGACAUCUGGGAAAGAAAAAGGUACCAAGCAGAAGAUGCAGGAGCCAUAGUUCAAGGAAGGCUGGCUAAAAACAGCUGAGCAAUUAAGUUCUGGAGCUGGACUAGACAUCAUCAUGCCCACCACCCCACAGCUGACCUGGAAAACGCCUUCAGGAGCAAAGCAUCUCACAGCUAUCCUCAGCUCACAGACGUUCCCCUGAAUUGGUCUCAGAAUGUGGCUUUGGUGACUUUUCUGCCACCUUGACAUCCUCCCCACAUCAACUCUGCUCUUCUCAAAAUGUGGCUUUUGGAGAUGGCUGGGGUGCAGUGGACCUGUUAGCUAAAGGCGGCCUCCCCGGCCUCAUCAAACCGUGAUUCUCCCAGGCCGAAUUCUCCCAGGCCAGCAUCCGGUUCUUUUCUGCACUUGACUAUUUGUGGCUGCAGAGCACCCGAGGGUGCCGAGUACCCCUGGAGCAGGAACGUUGACGGCACACAACUGAGGGUCUAGUCUUCUGAAGCCCAGACACAGUGAGGAAGCCUCCUGGGCUUUCAAAGACAAUCUGAGAAGACCCCUCUCCCUUCUGCCGAGAGAGAAAAUGUUGUACUUGGAAGAGGCUCCCAGCCCCUGACUACAGCUUUGACUGAGCUAACAUAUGGCCUGGGGCUAUUUCCAAGGCUUUAUUACUCACCAACAAGAAUUAUUUGUUCAACUGAAAUCCACCUAGAGCCUUGUUUUGCUGGAGCCCCAUAGCUUACUGUUCAUCCCAACCCCCCCCUUCCAACCCUCCCUAUCAUGAUCCUCACUCCUAACCUAAAACAUGGAUUCCCACUUUGCUGGGACUAUCCAAGCCAUCCAUCCUCAACUCCCCCGAAAUCAACAACUGCAUCUCCAUUGAGUCCCGUACCCUCCUGUCAUCAGGGAGUAUCCUGGACCCCAUGUCUUGUCCUUCUCAGCAGCCUUAAAUAAUGUCAUCAGUUACUACCUCUCUCCUGCACCGUUAACCUCCCCACCCUCUUAGAUCCGUCGUAUUGCCAUUUGAGCAUGAUCUAAUCUUUCCAUUAAUGAAAGUAAGAAUAUUUGUAAUCUCUACAUUUCGAAUUCCCUUCUAGCUUUCUUUUCACAGCCACACAUUUCCCCCACCCCUAAAAUUGUUUGUGCUUGGCUUCUCCGAUUCCUGACUUCCCAUUCAUGCCUCAGUCCAGUCCAAUAUGACUUUUGCCUCCACUUCACCAAAACAGUUCUCAACGUCACCAAUGGCCUCCAUUUCACUAAAUCCACUGGACAGUUUUCAGCAUUCCUGUCAAGUGACCUCUUAGUGGUUUUCAACAACCCUGUUAACCUCUCUCUCCCUUCUUCUUGAAACACUCUUGUCUGGGUUUCUCAAUCACUGCAGACAAUUCUCCUAGUUUUCUUCCUUUCUGGUCAACUUCUCAACCCCAUUCCAGCCUCCUAAUCUUCUACAGCCUUUAACUACUGGCUUUCCAGGGCUCUCCCCAUGCCCAUUUCCUCUUCUUUCUGCAUUCUCUCCCUAGCUGAUUCCACAUCCCGUAUUGUUACAGACAGGAAACAGGGAAACAUUGGGUAAAAGGGCGGUUCCCCAGCAAAGGCCCCACCCUCAAGCCUGGAGGCCUGCAGCCCUACAUGAGGACAGGCAUUCCUGUUUUCACACCCAAAAAGUUGCCUUUUGGCCAGCCGUGCCUUCUAUCCUGUACCAAUAUAAACCCCGAACCCCAGGGUGCAGAGGCAGACGAGAUGAGGAGACAAGCAGACAGAUGGAAGAACAUGGCAGAGAAAGAGAGAAAAGGAGGAACAUCUGAAUGCCAAGAGGAGUUCGGCUGGGGGCAGUUGGAGAGGGGUUCAGCUGCUGGACAGCCAGGCUCCAGAGGAAGAUCAUCUUCCCACUCCAUCUCCCCUUCCAGCUCCCCAUCCAUCCUGCUGAGAGCCACCUCCAACACCCAAUAAAACCCCGA
rnacentral:lncRNA from 1 species